AUACGUAGGUGACAAGCGUUAUCCGGAUUCAUUGGGUUUAAAGGGUGCGCAGGCGGCCGUGCAAGUCAGCGGUGAAAGCCCGGGGCUCAACCCCGGAAGUGCCGUUGAUACUGCAUGGCUGGAAUGCGGUCGAGGCGGGCGGAACGUGGCGUGUAGCGGGGAAAUGCGUAGAUAUGCCACAGAACGCCGAUAGCGGAGGGAGCUCGCCAGGCCUGCAUUGACGCUCGGGCACGAAAGCGUGGGGAUCGAACAGGAUUAGAUACCCUGGUAGUCCACGCCGUAAACGAUGGGCGCUCGUCGUCGGCGACAGACAGUCGGCGGCCAAGCGAAAGCGAUAAGCGCCCCACCUGGGGAGUACGGUCGCAAGGCUGAAACUCAAAUGAAUUGACGGGG
rnacentral:rRNA from 1 species